rnacentral:rRNA from 1 species
AUGGCGUCGGCGGCGAGCAGGAAGGCGCCGUCGCUGGUGGUGGCGGCGAGCGUGGGCGCCGUGGAGGCGCUCAAGGACCAGGCGGGCCUGUGCCGCUGGGGCUACCCGCUCCGCUCGCUCUACCGCCACGCCGCCGCCGCGCCCAGAGUCCGCGCCCUGUCCGCCUCGCUCUCCGAGGCCACCGCGGCCGCCGCUCCCCGGCCGGUGCCUUUGUCCGCGGAGGACGCGAAGCUGCGAAAGGCGCACCACCUCGUCUGCUGGGGGCCCAACUGA